rnacentral:rRNA from 1 species
CCUACGGGAGGCAGCAGUGAGGAAUAGUGGUCAAUGGACGAGAGUCUGAACCAGCCAAGCAGCGUGAAGGAUGAAAGCCCGAUGGGUUGUAAACUUCUGUGAUAUGGGAAUAAAAUGUGCCACGUGUGGGAUUUUGUAUGUACCAUAUGAAUAAGGAUCGGCUAACUCCGUGCCAGCAGCCGCGGUAAUACGGAGGAUGCGAGCGUUGUCCGGAUUUAUUGGGUUUAAAGGGGGCGUUGGGGGGUUGUUAAGUCAGUGGGGAAAGUUUGCUGCUCAACCGUCAAAUUGCAGUUGAAACUGGCAGUCUUUAGUACAGUCGAGGUCGCCGGAAUUCGUGGUGUAGCGG